rnacentral:rRNA from 1 species
AGUUGGUGGAAUAAUUUGUCUGCUUGAUUGCGAUAACGAACGAGACCUUAACCUGCUAAAUAGAUGCAUUAACAUUUGUUGAUGUAUGUUCUUAGAGGGACUGAUUACAACAAGUAAUUGGAAGUUUGAGGCAAUAACAGG